rnacentral:rRNA from 1 species
CCUACGGGUGGCAGCAGUGGGGAAUAUUGCACAAUGGGCGAAAGCCUGAUGCAGCAACGCCGCGUGAGCGAUGAAGGCCUUCGGGUCGUAAAGCUCUGUUCUUAAGGAAGAUAAUGACGGUAUUUGAGGAGUAAGCCCCGGCUAACUACGUGCCAGCAGCCGCGGUAAUACGUAGGGGGCUAGCGUUAUCCGGAAUUACUGGGCGUAAAGGGUGCGUAGGUGGUUUAUAAAGUCAGAGGUGAAAUGCUACGGCUAAACCGUAGUAAGCCUUUGAAACUGGGGAACUUGAGUGCAGGAGAGGUAAGUGGAAUUCCUGGUGUAGCGGUGAAAUGCGUAGAGAUUAGGAGGAACACCAGUUGCGAAGGCGGCUUGCUGGACUGUAACUGACGCUGAGGCGCGAAAGCGUGGGGAGCAAACAGGAUUAGAUACCCCUGUAGUC